rnacentral:rRNA from 1 species
GAUUUCUGGCUUGACGCGCCUGGCCCGCCUCGGUUACGAGUGUGAGUGCCGGUGCGUGUCUGCCAUCCUUCUGGAGAACGGUUGCGGGCCCUUCACUGGGUUCUGUGAUCGUGAUUCAGAUCUAUUACUUUGAAAAAAUUAGAGUGUUUAAAGCAGGCUUGCGCUAUGAAUACAUUAGCAUGGAAUAAUAAUUUAGGACUUUGGUCUUAUUUUGUUGGUUUCUAGGACUAAAGUAAUGAUUGAUAGGGACAGUUGGGGGUGCUAGUAUUCAGCGGCCAGAGGUGAAAUUCUUGGAUUCGCUGAAGACUAACUUAUGCGAAAGCAUU